GUGAAGCAUCUAGGGGUUUAAUUCUAAGCACCUAAAACUUUUGCAUCUGUUAAAUUAAUUAGAGAUCAUUAUCUGCAUUCUUGAGUUAUCAUAACUCUCUAUGACAAUGAGCAAUUUUCAGGUGAUCAACUGAAAUGUCAAAUUUUACAAUGUUGCUGAAGCAACCUUUGUCAUGUUAUAUGAUAGUUUCUUCUUGUAAAUCCUUUCAGUAGAGAGUUCUAGUGGCCCAAACUGCAAUAAUGGAGGCAGUGCUACAUUUUUAUUGCUAUUCCCAUGCGCAAGCAUCAGCAAUGCAACAUCGCAGUAGAUGUUAUAUCUCUGGCUAGUUUAACCUCACAGGUGAAUGGUGAUAAAAUGAUGCAGCAAUGAAUAAUGAGAUGUAAAAUACCAGUGCUGCAUUCUGUCCUCAAAUAGGUUGAGAUUGCCUUUGCUGGUUAACGAAAGACCACGAAGCUGAUAAUCAUAGUUCAUCCACCGUCUAGUGCCAACCACGUAUUUCAGCACACUUCGCUAGGUCAUGUCUUGGGUAGUGUAUGCUCCAGAUAUUGCAAGUAGACAUGCCUGUUUCUUGAUGACACGUGCUCUCCUGCCUUUCCCUGGUGUGCUCGUGGAUUGGAAGUGUU